rnacentral:rRNA from 1 species
AGAGAGAGACAUGCGCGCAUAUCAAUAAGCGGAGGAAAAGAAACUAACAAGGAUUCCCCUAGUAACGGCGAGUGAAGCGGGAAGAGCUCAAAUUUGAAAUCUUAAAGGGUUUCCCUUUACGAAUUGUAGUUUAAAGAAGUGUUUUCUGUUGAGGUUUUGGUAAAAGUUCUUUGGAAUAGGACAUCAUAGAGGGUGAGAAUCCCGUAUUUGACCUUUACUUUCAACUCUGUGAUACACUUUCAAAGAGUCGGAUUGUUUGGGAAUGCAGUCCAAAAUGGGUGGUAAAUUUCAUCUAAAGCUAAAUAUUGGCGAGAGACCGAUAGCGAACAAGUACCGUGAGGGAAAGAUGAAAAGAACUUUGAAAAGAGAGUUAAACAGGUACGUGAAAUUGUCAAAAGGGAAGCGUUUGACACCAGUGUUGUUUUUCUGAAAAUCAAUUAAAGAACUGUUUAUGCUAAGCUGUUUAGACUUUAUCAGCUAUCUGUUUAGUUUUGAGCUUUUCUUUAAUGCACUUUUCAGUUAACAAGUCAACAUCAAUUUCUUUUGCUGUAAAAAAGCUUGAGGAAGGUGGCUUGAGAUUCGUCUUAAGUGUUUAUAGCCUCUUGCCUAUGCAGUCGGAGAGAUUGAGGUCUGCAGCGUAGAUCCUUCGGGGCUAAAUGCAUUUGUGCUAAGUUAUAGCAUUUUAUAGACAACUUGUUGACUAUGAUUUGUCUUGUAGCUUACUCGCUUAUGUUAUUUUACCUACGCUUAGGAUGUUGACGCAUGAGAUAUACGC